rnacentral:lncRNA from 1 species
UUAAUAUACUGCUACUACUAUUAAUAAUAAUAUAAUCAAAAUGAUCAUCAUCGUCGUCACCAACAACAGCAACAAAUCAUCAUUGUUGUCGACAUCAUCAUUAUCAUCACAUCAUAAAUGGUGGCCGGUGGUGACUCAAGAGCUGCUACUGCUGCUGUUUCGACGACGGCUAGUGCUGGCUCAAUGCGACCACCAUUGGCAGUGGCUUGACGCCAUAAUUGCUCUACGAAUUGGAUUAGCUAGAGAUGAAAUAUGGGGUUUAGUUUGAUUUUCAUCAUUUUUUUAUUUUUUAAUUAUAUUUAAAUAAAGGAUAAAAUGAAAAUUAGGGGAAAAAAAGUCAUUUUCGGAAAUGGGUUUUGAUUCUAAAUCCUCCUUGGGAAUCAAAACUGUGAAAAUAAUUCCCUAAUUUAUGGGCGCCACACCAUUUUCUUUUUAAUUCUAAAUCUUGAUUUUGUAAGUAAACGCGUUAUUAAUUCCGAUUUCAGAAUCCCAUUCCAAUUGCUAGUAAAUAAACACACCAUAAGGAUAACAAUAAAAGCUGAAAUAUGAGAGGAAAAAAAUGUUAUUCUCCCUUGGAGAAAUAAUCCCAUGAGAAUUGGUAUAGAUUGUUUUCACCAGAUUUAUUGCUGAAAUAGUGAAAUUCCACGAGCACCUUUCUUUUUGUUUAAUAGUAUAUUACAAUUUGCUAGUAAUAAUUACUAUAAAGAAAAUAGGUCAAAAUUCUGCUUAGAUAGCUUUAUUAAGACAGAACUUGAAUGUUUGGAUUAAAAUCUCCCUCUUAAUGUUUGAAAAAAAAAAGAUAUUUCCCACGAUACACACGAUCAAGCAUGCAAAUUGUGCUAUAUUAAAACGAAUUCAGUCGUAAAAAAAAAAGUAAAUUCACUUGAAAGUUCAUCACAAUUACAAAUAUCUAUAAUGAACAGUUAAGGAGAGUGGCUAUAGGUGCGUCCCAGCAAAACAAGUGAUUGGAGGUUGAUUUAAGUGGGCCUAUUACUCCAUUUUGUAAAGGACCUAUACCUUACUUACUGAUGACGUAAGAUAGCAAAAGAUAGCUAACUCUACAGUUAAGUAGUGUCUUAAUUCUUAUAAUAAAGGGUUAUAAGACAAAUCCUAGGAUAAGAUAACUCCAUUUUGACAGUGAAAUAAUUUCUUAUCUAUAUUAGUGGUCCGUGUUCUAUCCGCGUUAGAAACCACUAUAAGUAAUUUCACUCCUAUUUAUCUCAUUAUAUUACUCUUACGUGUUUUUGAUGGUAAUCGAUUUUAACUUUUUGUAUGACAAUGAUCUUUUUCAGCAAUCGUUCAUUAGUGUUAACAGACUUCUUUAAAUACUUAAUAUUUAAUAUUGUGGCGGCUUGGUCCAGUGACUAGAGUUACUCUCUUACAAAUGUGAGAGAAAUGGUUCGAACCCUUACAAAUGUAUUAUAAAGAUUUAAUUUAAAUUUUCUUUCUCCAAAUUUGAGCGAAUGUAGUCUUUCUCUCAUAAGUGGAGUUUAUUCUUCAAAUAUUUGAGAGGAUUAAAAUUUAGACAAUACUAUAUAAGAUGUGAUGUAA